rnacentral:rRNA from 1 species
AGGAUGAACGCUGGCGGCGUGCCUAACACAUGCAAGUCGAACGUCCUGUCUCGCAAGAGGCAGGGAGUGGCGGACGGGUGAGUACCACGUGGGUCAUCUACCGUGAGGUGAGGAAUACCGGCGAGAAAUCGCCGACAAGACCGCAUAGCCUCGGUGCAAGUCGAGGAAAGCUCUCUCGAGAGAGGGAGCGCCACACGAGGAGCCUGCGCCCGAUUAGCUAGCUGGUGGAGUAACGGUUCACCAGGGCGACGAUCGGUAGCUGGUCUGAGAGGACGAUCAGCCACACUGGGAUUGAGAACGGCCCAGACUCCUACGGGGGGCAGCAGUGAGGAAUUUUCGUCAAUGGGGGCAACCCUGAACGAGCAACGCCGCGUGCAGGAAGAAGGUUUUCGGAUCGUAAACUGCUUUUCGUCGGGAAGAGAACGGACGGUACCCGAGGAAUCGAGCCCCGGCUAACUACGUGCCAGCAGCCGC